rnacentral:rRNA from 1 species
GACGAACGCUGGCGGCAUGCCUAAUACAUGCAAGUCGAGCGAACAGAUGAAGUGCUUGCACUUCUGACGUUAGCGGCGAACGGGUGAGUAACACGUAAGGAAUCUACCUAUAAGCGGGGGAUAACAUUCGGAAACGGGUGCUAAUACCGCAUAAUAUCUUCUUCCGCAUGGAAGAAGAUUGAAAGACGGCUCUGCUGUCACUUAUAGAUGACCUUGCGGUGCAUUAGUUAGUUGGUGGGGUAAUGGCCUACCAAGACGAUGAUGCAUAGCCGACCUGAGAGGGUGAUCGGCCACAUUGGGACUGAGACACGGCCCAAACUCCUACGGGAGGCAGCAGUAGGGAAUCUUCCGCAAUGGGCGAAAGCCUGACGGAGCAAUGCCGCGUGAGUGAAGAAGGCCUUCGGGUCGUAAAACUCUGUUAUAAGAGAAGAACAGAUUGUAGAGUAACUGCUACAGUCUUGACGGUAUCUUAUCAGAAAGCCACGGCUAACUACGUGACAGCAGCCGCCGUAA